rnacentral:lncRNA from 1 species
CCCUCAUGAAUGUAUCCUGAAGUCCUUCAGUGGUCGCAUUCCAAUAUUGCGACGCAGUCCUUCAAACGUUGAAGUUGGUAAUGCUUUGAUGAACAAAUCUGCUAGAUUAUCUUUUGAGCGAAUUUGCUGAACAUCAAUGUCACCACACUUAUCAAGGUCAUGCGUGAAAAAGAAUUUUGGUGAGAUAUGCUUUGUUCUAUCUCCUUUGAUG